rnacentral:lncRNA from 1 species
UCCCCAAGUGGACUAGAAACUAAUUUGGUUCAGUUUGGAAAAGAACCUCUCCUCCAAAAAAGGAACAAAAAUAAAAAAUAAAGACAUUUUGUGAAAAGCCCGUUCAUCUCAAAACCUCCCUCAUCUCCUGCUUUGCAUCUAUGUGUUCUCUCGCUCAGGGUUACAAAGUGUUCCAAAUGGUUGCAGUGAUUUUAAGCCUAUCCCCUGAGAUCAUAUCUCUUCCAAGCUCCAAGGAAAAGAAAGAGAAGAUCAGAAGUGUCUACCUCUCCCAGUAUUCCGUGAACUUAUUGAGGAGGAAGAUAUGCACUGUUCAUCUGUGCAUCCCAACUACUUUACACACUGUUUGAGACAGCCUGGGUUAUCCAAGCUCUACCAAUUCUCUGAGAGGUAGAGCUGCUCCUGCAAUAAUGUGAAGGUGAAGUAUCCCCCAUAUUGCCCAAGGCUGGCCCCUGAAGUACUUGGAGAGGAAGAACUAUGUGGAUGGUAGUAUCAUGCAGUGACCAACAACUUGGGCUUUGGAACCAGAACCAGAGUUGGAUCUCAGCACAGUCACAACUUUGUGACAGGGGACAAGUUCUUUUACCUCUUUAUCUCUAGUUUUUCACUCUUAAAAUGCAGAUAAUAAUAAUCCCUAUGUGCCAAGAAUGUUUGGUAGAUUGAUUAUAAUAAUGUGGGAAAAAUACUCAGCCAAUGUCUGAAACAUUAAGUGCUCAAUAAGCAUUAGUUAGUAUUGCUUCACAAUGUAGCACGAGAUUAGGCUUUAGAGUGUUGGCCUCCAAAAUUAGAUUUAUUUCUGUAUUUUCAUCAUCAGCUCUUUUAUGCCAAAAAAAGAAAAUAUUCUCCUCUUCCUAAAACAUCACCAUGUAUCUAUCCAUUCAUUCAUUUCGAUGUGCCAGGCAUUCCUCAAGGGUCUAAGAAUGAACAACAGCAUAUGGUUUAAUGCCCUUCAAUGACUUCAGAAUGACAGAGGUAGGAAGCCACAUAUACAAGUAUAAAGUAUACUCUAUACUUAUACAAGUAUAAAGCAUGUGACAGUAUAAAAAUUGCUGCAGUCAGGUACCCCAUAUGAAAAUUUCUUAAUCAUCUUUCAACACAAAUAAGUAUGGAUAUCACCUACCAUCUGAGGUCUUCUUUGAAAUGCCCAUUGAAAAAACAAAACAUUUUUCCAUCCUCAAUUGUCACCAUUACCUCAUCUACUC